rnacentral:SRP_RNA from 1 species
AUGCCGUAAUAAAGAUAACGUCUGAAUUGGUCAGGACCGGAAGGUAGCAGCUAUAAGGAUCUGUGUCUUGUAUUGCGGUUUUUU